GGGUGGGUGAUAUGGGGGCGUGGGAGGUUGUUUUUCUUUUCGUUUUUAGCAGAACGUGGAUGCGCGGUGGGUUGGUUUCGAGAUUUUUUUUAUCGUGCGACCGUGAGAUUUUUUCUGUCGAUGGUUGUUGAUGUACUAAGGUUUUUUUAUUGAACUAAUCGGCUGGUUUAUCGCCUGGUUUAUGGAGGGAUUAAAAAAAAUCGGUGGAACGAUGAAAAGGCUAACGGUAGGAGGGGGAUCGCUCGAGGUCGAACCAUCACGACAGACGACAGAUCCCCUUUAAUAGUAGAGACUUUUGAGAUAUAUUUCAUAAAUAAUAAAGUAUACGAAGCAUGUAACAAAAUAUUGUGUCAAAAGCAAAAUAUAUUGGAUUGAAGUCAAACGGGUUGCCAUAUCUUUCAUACUUCUAAAGAUUCGAGUUGCUGGUGAGUUCACUUCUCUCCCUCUUACUCUUACAGGUGGGACCUGAUGCAACAGCGACCGGAAUAAAAAAAGUGACUCUGAACCCAUCUCUUCUCAAACAGUCCCCAGUCUUGUUCUUCAGCCGCCUCUACUCCAUCGUUGUCCACCGGCGCUCAAAAGUUUGAAUCUUCAUCUCUUUCAUUGGCGGUACUGCCCACAGAUGUGUCCCUCUCC
rnacentral:lncRNA from 1 species